ensembl:snRNA U6 U6 spliceosomal RNA
GUGGUCACUUUGGUAGCACAUAAACUGGAAUGAUCUAGAGAAGAUUAGCAUGGCCCCUACACCAGGAUGACCCCCAAUCUGUGAAGCGUUCCAUUAAAAA